GUAGCUCACUGAUGUCUGUGUAGACAGGGAGCUGUGACAAGAGCAAGAGGUCAGAACACAUCCAGACUCCUUAAGGGAAGUCCUCUUUCUGUUUCUGACACUUUUCAAAGCCAGAGACUUGUCCAGUCCAACCUCCCCACUGCUCCUAGGUCCUGAGGCUCAGCGCCCUUGGCUUCUGUCCGCCCUGCUCAAGGUCCUGCAGCGUUGCCACUGCUCAGCCAUGCUCCUGCUGCUUGUCCCAGUGCUCGAGGUGAUUUUUACCCUGGGAGGAACCAGAGCCCAGUCUGUGACCCAGCUUGACAGCCAAGUCCCUGUCUUUGAAGAAGCCCCUGUGCUGCUGAGGUGCAACUACUCAUCAUCGUCUGUUUCAGUGUAUCUCUUCUGGUAUGUGCAAUACCCCAACCAAGGACUCCAGCUUCUCCUGAAGUAUUUAUCAGGACCCACCCUGGUUAAAGGCAUCAACGGUUUUGAGGCUGAAUUUAAGAAGAGUGAAACUUCCUUCCAUUUGAGGAAACCCUCAGCCCAUAUAAGCGACACGGCUGAGUACUUCUGUGCUGUGAGUGACACAGUGCCUGAGACUGCAGAGGAGCUGAACACAAACCUCCUGAGAUGCUGA